rnacentral:lncRNA from 1 species
CAGCACUGGAGGCCCUGCACGUCGUGUAGCAAUGGGGCAGGAUGAAUAGUCCUCUCACUGGGAGGACAGUGAAUAACUGGAAACAGUGACCAAUCUGCUACCAUGCACCAUCUUGGUUGCAAUUAUCACUCCUGUCUCUUGCGUGGGCAUGGUGGAUUGGAGGCGGCUGCGGAUUCUUAGUCAUUCCUCCCAGAAAGACAUGGAGUAUUUUUCUCCUCCCCUUGGAUCUGGGCUGAUUCCAGGACUGGCUUUCAUCAACAGGAUGUAGCAGAAGCGACGCUGUGUGAGUUCCCAGGCUGAGGCUGCAGAGAUUUGAGGCAUCUUCUCUCACCCAGCUUGAAGUCCUUCCCCUUGGAAGCCAGUCACCGUGAAAAAACUCACCAUGCUGUGAGGAAGCCCAAGAGAGCUGCAUGGAGAGAAGGGCCUGUGGAAGAGCUCUGAGGUGCCACUCACAUGAAGUGAGCCUUUGUGGACCUUCCAGCCCAGCCACCAGCAAACACAACCCAGGUGAAGGGACUCUCGAGUGUGGUCAUUGAGGACAAGUCAACGAGAGAUUCCCGAGUACGUCUACAGUGAGCCUUGUGGGUGAAGGUACUCUACAGUGUGGUCAUUGAGGACAAGUUGACGAGAGAGUCCCAAGUACGUCCACGGUCAGCCUUGCGACAUUUAAAGUUCUACAAUGAACUCACUGGAGAUGCAAAGAAAAGUGUGGAGAUGGAGACACCCCAAUCGACUCGCCAGUCUACAGGUGUAUCCAGCAGCUCCAAAGAGACAGCAACCAGCAAGAAUGGGCCAUAGUGACGAUGGUGGUUUUGUCAAAAAGAAAAGGGGGGGAUAUGUAAGGAAAAGAGAGAUCAGACUUUCACUGUGUCUAUGUAGAAAAGGAAGACAUAAGAAACUCCAUUUUGAUCUGUACUAAGAAAAAUUGUUUUGCCUUGAGAUGCUGUUAAUCUGUAACUUUAGCCCCAACCCUGUGCUCACGGAAACAUGUGCUGUAAGGUUUAAGGGAUCUAGGGCUGUGCAGGAUGUACCUUGUUAACAAUAUGUUUGCAGGCAGUAUGUUUGGUAAAAGUCAUCGCCAUUCUCCAUUCUCGAUUAACCAGGGGCUCAAUGCACUGUGGAAAGCCACAGGAACCUCUGCCCAAGAAAGCCUGGCUGUUGUGGGAAGUCAGGGACCCCGAAUGGAGGGACCAGCUGGUGCUGCAUCAGGAAACAUAAAUUGUGAAGAUUUCUUGGACAUUUAUCAGUUUCCAAAAUUAAUACUUUUAUAAUUUCUUACACCUGUCUUACUUUAAUCUCUUAAUCCUGUUAUCUUUGUAAGCUGAGGAUAUACGUCACCUCAGGACCACUAUUGUACAAAUUGAUUGUAAAACAUGUUCACAUGUGUUUGAACAAUAUGAAAUCAGUGCACCUUGAAAAUGAACAGAAUAACAGUGAUUUUAGGGAACAAAGGAAGACAACCAUAAGGUCUGACUGCCUGAGGGGUCGGGCAAAAAGCCAUAUUUUUCUUCUUGCAGAGAGCCUAUAAAUGGACGUGCAAGUAGGAGAGAUAUUGCUAAAUUCUUUUCCUAGCAAGGAAUAUAAUACUAAGACCCUAGGGAAAGAAUUGCAUUCCUGGGGGGAGGUCUAUAAACGGCCGCUCUGGGAGUGUCUGUCCUAUGUGGUUGAGAUAAGGACUGAGAUACGCCCUGGUCUCCUGCAGUACCCUCAGGCUUACUAGGAUUGGGAAACCCCAGUCCUGGUAAAUUUGAGGUCAGGCCGGUUCUUUGCUCUGAACCCUGUUUUCUGUUAAGAUGUUUAUCAAGACAAUACAUGCACCGCUGAACAUAGACCCUUAUCAGGAGUUUCUGAUUUUGCUCUGGUCCUGUUUCUUCAGAAGCAUGUCAUCUUUGCUCUGCCUUCUGCCCUUUGAAGCAUGUGAUCUUUGUGACCUACUCCCUGUUCAUACACCCCUCCCCUUUUAAAAUCCCUAAUAAAAACUUGCUGGUUUUGUGGCUCAGGGGGGCAUCAUGGACCUACCAAUACGUGAUGUCACCCCCGGUGGCCCAGCUGUAAAAUUCCUUUCUUUAUACUCUUAUUUCUCAGACCAGCUGACACUUAGGGAAAAUAGAAAGAACCUAUGUUGAAAUAUUGGAGGCGGGUUCCCCCGAUACCUGGGUAUUGUCCAAGGUUUCCUUUGCUGAGGAGGAUUAGUAAAAGGAAUGCCUCCAUCUCCUGCAUGUCCCUGGGAACAGAAUGUUCCCACCAACCACCCUGUGGCUGGAGGCGGGAUAUGCUGGCAGCAAUGCUGCUCUAUUACUCUUUGCUACACUGAGAUGUUUGGGUGGAGAGAAGCAUAAAUCUGGCCUAUGUGCACAUCUGGGCACAGCACCUUCCUUUGAACUUAUUUGUGACACAGAUUCCUUUGCUCACGUUUUCCUGUUGACUUUCUCACCACUCACCCUAUUCUCCUGUGGCAUUCGCCUUGCGGAGAUAGUGAAAAUAGUAAUAAAUACUGAGGGAACUCAGACUGAGGGAACUCAGACUGGGCAGACCGGGGCCAGUGUGGGUCCUCCAUAUGCUGAGCGCCGGUUCCCUGGGCCCACUGUUCUUUC